UUAACAGCCUUAAGUCAGGCCAUUGCUAAGUUGCUUGGUGCCUCUGCUGGCAAAGGGACACUGGUGGCAGAAGUGUGGUUGUGCAGGUUGCACUGCAGACAGCUCAGUACUCACUGUUCCCACGGCCCUGCACGCAGAGCCUGUGCUGACGGAACGCCACGCAAUGCCCGACAGCGCUGGGCUUUCUAGUCUUGGACAUAAAGAUGUACAGUGUCUUACUGUUAUUUUAUGGUGGAAGCCAAGUUUAAAACCAAAAAUGUCUAACUUUAUUUAAGGAAAGGAUAUUAAUUUGUACUAACAGAGGGUGAAAACUGUUCAUAUCCUUCAACAAAAUCUGCUUGCUGUAGCAGUAACCUCAAGUAGUUAAAACUUGAUUUUGAGAGAAAACUAAAACCUUUGUGCCUAAAACUGAUGACUUGAGUUCAAGUGGUAUGAGCAGGAAGAUAUGAGAUCUUGUUGUUCAACAGUAAUGAAUGUGAAGGGAAUUUUGACUGCUAAAUAAAAUUUUCACAGC